CCUACGGGAGGCAGCAGUGGGGAAUAUUGCACAAUGGGCGCAAGCCUGAUGCAGCGACGCCGCGUGAGGGAUGACGGCCUUCGGGUUGUAAACCUCUUUCAGUAGGGAAGAAGCGAAAGUGACGGUACCUGCAGAAGAAGCGCCGGCUAACUACGUGCCAGCAGCCGCGGUAAUACGUAGGGCGCAAGCGUUAUCCGGAAUUAUUGGGCGUAAAGAGCUCGUAGGCGGUUUGUCGCGUCUGCUGUGAAAAGACCGGGGCUCAACUCCGGUUCUGCAGUGGGUACGGGCAGACUAGAGUGCAGUAGGGGAGACUGGAAUUCCUGGUGUAGCGGUGAAAUGCGCAGAUAUCAGGAGGAACACCGAUGGCGAAGGCAGGUCUCUGGGCUGUAACUGACGCUGAGGAGCGAAAGCAUGGGGAGCGAACAGGAUUAGAUACCCUGGUAGUCCAUGCCGUAAACGUUGGGCACUAGGUGUGGGGGACAUUCCACGUUUUCCGCGCCGUAGCUAACGCAUUAAGUGCCCCGCCUGGGGAGUACGGCCGCAAGGCUAAAACUCAAAAUAGAGUAGACGCGUGAGAGUGACCGACGGACGACGACGAGGGAGGAGG
rnacentral:rRNA from 1 species